rnacentral:lncRNA from 1 species
UUUUUUUUCUUUUCUUUCUAUCUCCUAUCCCAUGCUGCCACCUCAUCAUUUUUUUUUUCUUCUUUCCCAUUCUCUCCCAGCCAGCCGAGAGACCAAAAACAAAACCCUAUUCUCUCUCUCACCUCAAUUUAAAAAGGAGGGCCGCACACUUCUUCCUCACAAGCCGCAGCACACCUAAAACAGAGGCAGCCCCUUUGGGCUGCUCUCUCUCUCUCCUCCUCCUCCUCCAUUUUUCAUAAUAGUUUUAGUUUUCUUUUGGGUAUUCAUAGAAUUUCUCACACAAGCUUCAAGGAUUCAUCAAGAGCUACAAGAUUCAAGCUUUAGGUAUUUGUGGGAGUUGUAAUUCAAGGGAAGUCAUAUUAGCUUCCUAGCUAAUUGUGGCUACCUUUGUGUUCUCCUACACUUCUAUAAUCUUUUCUCUUUGAAUUUUGUAUCUUUGAUGUUCAUAGUUAUGGGUUGUGAGUAAUUUCUUUGUUGGGAGUUAGGGUUGUGAAGCCCUAACUAAUCUUGUAUAAAUAUUGAUGCUUUAAUUUUAAUAAAUGCAAUUUCCAUUGUGCUUUGUCACCCUUUGAAAUUAUGUUGUGGGCAAUUGUGAUGAAUAGAUUGAUAAAUUGACAACUUAUUGGUCUUGUUGCAUCUAGGAUUUAAGUGUGGUAACCAUUAGCUAGCUUAAUUGUAGCUAAGCUUGCUUGGGUCUCUAUUAUCUUGCACUCUAGGCCUCUAAUUUUAGAUAUUGCGGCCUUAACCGGCGUAAUGCCUAAAUUAGAGAGUUGAUUGUGGCCCUAACCGGCAUAAUCGAUACACCGAAAGGAUAAUUGGUUUAGUAGCCUUGACCGGUACUAAAUACGGGACUUAACACAUAUAGAAAAUGCAUGCAUUUAUGAAAUUGGCACCGAUAUUUGCAAGAUAGUUAGUGUGAAUCACCCGACGCUUCCAUAUUCCCAUUAAUUUGAAAACCCAAAUUUAAUUUUCUAGUUCGUUAAUUAGUUGUU